CUCCAAGAAAGGCUUUGGGAAGAAAACAAACUUCAACGUGUGCACGUUCUCAUUAGGAGCAGGCAGGAGGAGAGCUCCCAUCCCAGCUGGAUGAGAUCCAGGGAUCCCAGGGAUGGAGAGGGUGGAAAUGGGCCUGCAGCCAGAAGAACUUGAGAGAUUUCUGACAAGUCUGAAGGGAAGAGUGAUGGUAGGAAAGGAGCUGCACAUCCUUGAGUGCCUCAGAAGUACUUCCAAAAGCUCCCAGAGUCAUUUCCACCCCAACCCAGAGAUUUCCAAGGAUCCCAUCCAAAACUCAGCAGGAUCAAGCUUUGUUCCUGCCCUUCCUGGUGCAAGGAACAUGAUCAGGGUCAGAGAUGCUCCAGCCACACACAGGCAGAAACACAAGGCCCUCUGGAGUCAGUGGGAACUUUGCCACUGGAAGUCGAGAGUUUUAGGAAGCCAAUCGAGCAGAAAACCCCAGAUCUAAAUGGCUCAACG
rnacentral:lncRNA from 1 species